rnacentral:rRNA from 1 species
UACGGAGGGGACUAGCGUUGUUCGGAAUUACUGGGCGUAAAGCGCACGUAGGCGGAUUUGUAAGUCAGGGGUGAAAUCCCGAGGCUCAACCUCGGAACUGCCUUUGAUACUGCAAAUCUCGAGUCCGGAAGAGGUGAGUGGAAUUCCUAGUGUAGAGGUGAAAUGUGUAGAGAUCGGGAGGAACACCGGUGGCGAAGGCGGGUCUCUGGGCAAUUCCUGACGCUGAGGCGCGAAAGCGUGGGGAGCAAACGGG